UAUUUAUUAGUUUAAUUAAACCAUUACAUUUUCAAUGUAAAAAUAUAAUCUAUAUUAUAUAAAUAA
rnacentral:tRNA from 1 species